AUUGAACGCUGGCGGAAUGCUUUACACAUGCAAGUCGAACGGCAGCACGGACUUCGGUCUGGUGGCGAGUGGCGAACGGGUGAGUAAUAUAUCGGAACGUAUCCAAUAAUGGGGGAUAACUAAUCGAAAGGUUGGCUAAUACCGCAUACGUCCUACGGGAGAAAGCUAGGGACCUUCGGGCCUGGCGUUAAUGGAGCGGCCGAUAUCGGAUUAGCUAGUUGGUGGGGUAAAGGCUCGCCAAGGCGACGAUCCGUAGCUGGUCUGAGAGGACGACCAGCAACACUGGAACUGAGACACGGUCCAGACGCCUACGGGAGGCAGCAGUGGGGAAUUUUGGACAAUGGGCGAAAGCCUGAUCCAGCCAUUCCGCGUGAGUGAAGAAGGCCUUCGGGUUGUAAAGCUCUUUCGCAAGAGAAGAAAACUUACCCUCUAACAUAGGGUGAGGUUGACGGUAUCUUGAUAAGAAGCACCGGCUAACUACGUGCCAGCCGCCGCGGUAA
rnacentral:rRNA from 1 species